rnacentral:misc_RNA from 1 species
GAUGAAGAACGCAGCGAAAUGCGAUAAGUAAUGUGAAUUGCAGAAUUCAGUGAAUCAUCGAAUCUUUGAACGCACAUUGCGCCCCCUGGUAUUCCGGGGGGCAUGCCUGUCCGAGCGUCAUUACAACCCUCAAGCUCAGCUUGGUAUUGGGCCCCGCCGCUCCGGCGGGCCCUAAAGUCAGUGGCGGUGCCGUCCGGCUCCGAGCGUAGUAAUUCUUCUCGCUCUGGAGGUCCGGUCGUGUGCUCGCCAGCAACCCCCAAUUUUUUUCAGGUUGACCUCGGAUCAGGUAGGGAUACCCGCUGAACUUAAGCAUAUCAUAAGCGGAGGA